rnacentral:lncRNA from 1 species
CCUCUUCUUGUUGUUCAUCCAAGUCCCAUCCCAUUGAAAGCCAUCCACCUUGGUUUACGAUUCUCUCCACAAGAUCAAAUCUUUCAGAACGGAUUAAAUCCUUCUUGCUCGGAAACAUGCCAGGUUUAUCAGAAUUCUUCAUGAACUCCAAAAUCUCCGUUUCCAGAUCCUUAUCGCUAUCCCAUCCCAAAUCUUGGUUAUUGCACAUCCUCAGAACCCCACUACGCCUAAAGCAACAACCUUUCUUCCUCAGCUUGACCUCCAGAAACCAUUGAACAGGUCCACAACUUUUCCCAUCAGCUAAAAGACUCAAUUUCCCCGAACAAAUGGGAUUGAAGGAAGAAAAAGAGGAAAGAGGCAAAAGGGUAUCGGAAUCAAUCAGCGAAAGCCGUGGAGCAAAAGAAGAAACGGGGCCUGAGUUGAGAGAGACCAUCUUUGGAGCAUUUCGUCGAACAGUUUGUGUGCGCUCUCUAUCAAGCGGUCCUCAUAUCAAAGAGGAGAGAUGCUAAGAAGAAACCGUACUCGGAUUUGCCAAAUUCUCUGUGUUUCAAAUAAGGAAAUUCUCACAAAAGAAAAAACAAGAAAGUACGAGAAGAAGAAGAAGUCAUGUGACCGCACAAGAACCAAAGCUUUUCAAUCUGAAAAAACAUUAAAGGAGUAUGCUUUAUUCGGACGUUAAUCAAAUUCCAAAGAUCAAGUUGAGGUAAGUUUUCUUUAGAUUCUCAAUUUGUUUAUCCUUUUAUGGUUUUGUUUCAGGUUAUUUGGAAUACCACUUUCAAAGCAAGUGGCUUUUAGAAAAAAAAAAAAAAAAAAAAAUGGUGUAGUUGAUACAAUAUGUCCUUUGUUUUUUUGUUCUUGUUUUUUUGGCAACUUAAGUUGUUCUUCGUGUGAUAUGUUGAUGUUCAAAUGCUAUUGAAAUCAAAAUGUUCAUGUAUCGAUUUCAGGUUAAAUCUCUGAGUAAAAGAUAUUUUUUGGUUUUGUUGAUUUUUUAUUUAUUUAUAUAACUACGAAUGUGAAAUUGAUAGAUAGGGUAUGAAGGGUGUCGUAUUUCCUAACGUUCCUAAAGAAAAUUACCAUUUACAAUAAAUAAUUUUUUUUUCUCAUUCCCUACCAUUCUUUUUUUUUAGAGAAAUAAAUAACAAAAUUAUUCAUUGUUAAAUGCGAGAUGAAACAACUAUUCCUUUAAUUCUUCCAAUUUUAUUCAUCCACAUUAUUUGUUUCAUCUGGUCAACAAUUGACAUUUAAGCUCUUCAACCCAAAUAAGAAGUAAGCUCACAAAGACAUGAAGCUAGGCUUUAAUGCAAGACUUAUUCUUGGGUUUACCCACCCCCUAGGUGAAUUUCUAGGUUUACCAACCAAUAGAAUUGUAUUAUUUCAUAUUCGAUAUAUUUAAAAAAAAACAAAAUACUAUCAAACUAUAUUAUGUUUUUAAAAUAAAAAGAUAAAAAUAAUUAAUAAAAAUACUAGUAGUUAUAAAAAAAUAUUUUUAACGUCGUUAGCAAAACACUAAAUCCUAAACCCUAAAUCCUAAACCCUUGGAUAAAUCCUAAACUCUAAAUCAAAAACACUAAACACUAAAACACUCAAGGGUUUAUGAUUUGAAAAGGACUAGCACUAUUUGAUUUAUGAUAAUACAACAAAUUAGUUUGUGAAAUUGAAAAUAGACAACUCUUCUUAUCCGAAUCACGACCCAUGGCCAUGUUCAAAACUCAGCACAAUCUUUUGAAUGGCCACGUGUGCGGAUCAGAUGACUCAGAUCCAGAUAUUACCGCCAUCCACGUCAGUGUGGGACCUUUUAGUACAAAACACAUAGAUUUUCUCUGCAUUAAUAAUAGUUCCAGUCUCGAAUUAAGGUCAGACAGUCGACACGUGGCAAAUUAUGUUUGGAAGUGCUGAAGCAUUGGAGUUUUGUGGGUCCAUCGAUAUGUCAUGUCUCUCUCAACUUCUCACACAUGUGGACAGUGGAGUUACUAUGUGGGCCUUCAUCCGAUGUUAAGCCCAUUUAUCUUAAGCCCAAAAACACUAAUUAACUUUAGCCAGUUAGGUUCAAACUACGUCGUUUAGGUCACUGUGCUGAGCAUCAGAGACGGUCGAGUGAUGGCCGAACACGGUGGGAUAACUCCGGCUCCGGCCGAUGAAGAAGAACAAGUGUGGAGCUGGGGCGCAGGAACGGACGGCCAACUAGGGACUGCUAAGCUGAAAGACGAGCAUAUCCCGCAGCUUCUCUCGCUGACGUCACUUGCUUCCAUAUCCAUGCUCGCAUGUGGCGGCGCUCACGUCAUUGCCUUGACUUCUGGUAACCCUCCCUUCAAAUCUUCGAUUAAGUAUUCUUCUGAUCCGACAUUUAAAGUAUGUUUUUUUUUUUAAUUUGCAGGUGGUAAGGUGUUGACAUGGGGAAGGGGAAACUCUGGUCAAUUAGGACAUGGGGACAUGCUCGACUCUUCUUUGCCAAAACCAGUAUCUUUCUUCGACGACUAUGUUGUAACUCAAGCCUCAGCUGGAUGGAGCCACUCUGGUUUUGUUUCAGGUAGGUAAACUUAACAUGGAGGCUUGAAACUGCUUAGGAGACAAAGAGAUUGAUCUCCCUUUUGUGUUUUUUGUGUUAGAUUCUGGUUGCCUAUUCACUUGUGGAAAUGGCUCAUUUGGUCAGCUUGGUCAUGGUGAUAACAUGUCACUUUGCUCUCCAGCUAAAGUCUCUUACUUUGCCGAUAAGAGCGUGAAGAUGGUAGCUUGUGGUAUGCGCCACUCACUUGUCUUGUUCGCAGGUAAAACAUCUGACACUGCAUUCACUAGCUCUUCAAUAAAAGUUUGUUUUCUCAUUUUUGAUUUAUCUUGUCUUCUUCAGGAAAUCAAGUGUGCGGAUUCGGAUCUGGGAAACGCGGACAGCUUGGUUUCUCAUCAGACAAAACUAAGACACUAAUUAAUCUUCCAUGUCUUGUCUCUGGAUUAGAAGAUGUUGAGAUUGUUCGUAUAGCAGCCAAUGGAGAUCAUAGUGCAGCUAUAACCGGUUAACUCUUUAAGUCUCAUGUUCAGUUUCAUUGAUUGAUCGAAUCAUGUGUGUGUUUUGUUAAACUCGUAUUGCGAUGUGCUUAACCAGCUAAUGGACAAAUGUUCAGUUGGGGAAGAGGUUUCUGCGGCAGUCCUGAUGUUCAAGCCCCUCAGUGUUUACCCUCAUCUCAAUUCUUCAGAGAAGUUGCUUUAGGAUGGAGUCAUGCUUUAUUACUAACCGGUAAUUUCUGUUUAGAUGCAUGAGUUAGCUUCUGAUAGCUCAUUGAACUCAUUCCUCUGCUCAUGGACUUUGUUGAACAGUCGAUGGAGAAGUUUUCAAGCUUGGUAACACCCUUAAUAAACAAUCCGAGAAGCAACAACUGCAAGUAGAUCCGUCUGAACCUUUUUUGGAGAAAGUUCCAGGUUUUGAUGGAGUUAAAGUUAUGCAAAUUGCAGCAGGAGCAGAGCAUUCUGCUGCUUUAACAGGUGGCAAUUCAUCUCUUUGUUCUCCAGACUUUCUGAGUUAUAAACAAACAAACCUGUGAAUAUACCUUGCAGAGAAUGGAGAAGUUCAGACAUGUGGAUGGGGUGAACAUGGUCAGCUAGGUGUUGGAAACACCAAUGAUCAGAACAAUCCUCAACUCGUAAGCCUAGGAAGUAUAGACCAGCGGACGAGAGAUACCAAAGUAUAUUGCGGAAGUGGAUUUACAUAUGUAGUUCGGCGAAUACAAAAGCUUUCUUCAUCAUAGAAAUGGAUGUAUCAUAUCUCUAAUGUGUGUAACAUUGUACAAUGUGAGAAGUCAAUUAUUGGCAUUAUUCUCGUCAAGAGGAAUAGUCAUUACAAUGAUGAAAAUUGAGAUAUACAGAUUUUUUUCGUUUUUUUAAGAUUAUAAAAAACCUACAGCUAGCUCUACUGCUUUUCCCUGGCUAACCUUGCUCUACUUGAAAGUGAAAUUACAAAAGUAAACUAAAACCCUACUGAUUCAGCUCAAUGAUCCAUGGAUGGUGGGAUUAGCAAUGACCUCACGAGAUGAUGAGCAGAUUGUUUUCAUAUCCAUCACAAGUAACAAUGGGUCUAAGCGGGUCCACUUUCCACUGGCCAUCAACUAUGAACUUUAUCUGUGAAGAAAAUGUAGCGACUUUAAGAUUUGGUUUGUGGCUCAUAAACAUGUAUAAUAUUAGAUGCAGAUACUGUGUUUGAUUGAAUGAGCUAACCUGGUAUUUUCCAGGAUAUAGCUUCAGCGUCAAAGAGGAGACUCCGUUCUGUGCUUUCUUCAUUUUCCUCUGCUUCCAAAAUCAUAAAACAAAUUUAAGUAGAUGUGAAGGACUUUGUUUUAUCCUUUUUUUUUUCUUUUAUCGAUGUGAACUGACCUGGGUUGACCAACCGUCAAAUGAACCCGUUAGUAAAACUUCCGAGGCUGAGUUAGGCCAUACUAUGGAUGCAGUCCGGAGUAACCGUAAAGCUCUCCUAGCAUGAUCUAUUUUUCUCUGUUUCUCCCUUACAAUCCUCUGUGCAUCUCUAGAAGAGAAACAAGCUAGCCAAUGUGAGAGACAAUUAGCAUAAGCAUCCUACUCUUAUCUAUUUGCACAUAACCAAUGAGCAACGCAUACAUUAUAGCCAUAGACAUCUUUCCUUCAAGAACAGCUAGCUUUGCCCUUGUAGACCGUAGCUUGUUCUGGGCAUAUAUGAUUUCAUUCUCUUUGAACUCCCAAUCAUCAUUGAGGUUCUCCAAGUUUCCAGAUUUUAUCUCACUAUCCUACAUAAAAUCAUAAACCAAAAAUAAGUCAAAUGUUAAUCAUUUAUAGAAUCGCUACUAUUUUGAUCAGUCAAAUAGAGAGAGGAUUCUCGGUCCCAUCCGUUCAAACAAUCACACACGAAGAAAUGAAAACAUACGUUACCUUGCUUGUUCCAACUUCAUCAGGAGGAGGAGACCUAAGGGAUUGAAGAACAGAAGAAAGUUCUGACUGGAGAUUCUGAAGACGGCUUUUGAUAUGAGUCGUAUUUAUAUCUUCAGAGUAAGAUGCAGUUUUGUCUUUUCCGUUUGAAUCCUUAUUCGUAUCAUCCUUCUUUAGACCAACCAAGCUACUUGAAGAUAUUUCAGCAGCUGUACAAAUGUUAAUGGCUUUAGAUCUUUGUUUUACUGAAAUCAUUAUAUAUGGAAGAAGACAGAAAUCACUGGCAUACCUUCAAAAUCUUCAUCAGUAAAGCCAGCUCUCCUCAUACUCCAUGUUCUCCACGUUUCUGAUGUAGACGAAUUGUUUCCUGAAACUGGCUUGGCUUCUUGAUACCUACUUUGUCCAUAUUCACCUGAACUUCUACUAGCGUCGACAUCUUGAAACUCACUAGCUGUCUUUUGAGAAAAAAGGUAGGGAAACACCUCACGACAUAAACAGUUUAUUCUUAUGAAGUGAACAGCAAAGCUUAUAACAGACAAGAAAACAUACCACAAUAAUAGAAGAACGAGGAGGGGAACCAUUUAGGGUGAUAUCAUCAUACAUGGCACCAUUGCUUUCGCCUUUCCCACUCAAGUUUAUCCCUAGACUCAAAUUCCUUUCUUUCUCCAACCUGGUCAAUAUGCCUUCAAUCCCACUCUCAUUCUUACCAUCUACUUCUCUGAUAAAACAGAGCCUAUGUUAACUAACAUUCUCAAAAGGCAUAGAAUAAGAAGCAAUGUAAAUUUAGAGGACCCACUCUCUUGAAUAUGAGGCAUUCGAGGAAAGAUUACGAAGCUGUUUCUCAAUAGGCAAGUCCCCUAGCACGACGUUCUCUUUUACUCGGACCUCCUCUUCUUGUUGUUCAUCCAAGUCCCAUCCCAUUGAAAGCCAUCCACCUUGGUUUACGAUUCUCUCCACAAGAUCAAAUCUUUCAGAACGGAUUAAAUCCUUCUUGCUCGGAAACAUGCCAGGUUUAUCAGAAUUCUUCAUGAACUCCAAAAUCUCCGUUUCCAGAUCCUUAUCGCUAUCCCAUCCCAAAUCUUGGUUAUUGCACAUCCUCAGAACCCCACUACGCCUAAAGCAACAACCUUUCUUCCUCAGCUUGACCUCCAGAAAC